AUUAAAAAAAUUAUAUUUGUUUCAAGUGUACAGUUCUAUAAGAUGUCAUCUGUGCAUUGCAUUGUGGGUUCACCACCCAAAGUCAAGCCCCCUGUCACCACAUAAUAUUUUUAAAUAGUAGGGAAAAACUCCAGAGAAGAAUAAUAUUUGUGAUACCUGAAAGUUAUACGAAGUUCAGAUUUCAGUCUGAAAAAAUGUUUUAUUAAAGCACAGCGAUGCUCAUUUAUGCACAUAUCAUCCAUGGCUGCUCUCACGCAACAACAGCAGAGUUGAGUAAUUGUGACGGAAACCAUAUGGUCCACAGAGCCAAGAAUAUUUACAGUCUGGCCCUUUACAGAGAGGAUUUGCUGACACUUGAUCUAGAGACCUGAGCUGUACAGGACCAGUUAGACUAGGAGACUGGGUGUCUCCUCUUUGCCAAGAAAUCUGUAACAGGUGCUGUCUCAGUCUGUUGGGGCUGAUAUAAAAAUUACCACAGACUGGAUAGCUUAUAAACAACAGAAAUUUAUAACUCACACUUCUGGAGACUGGGAAGUCCAAGGUGAAGGUGCCAGCACGGUUGCCUUCUCGUGGAGGCCCUCCUCCUGGCUCAUAGCUGCUGCCUUUCCCUUUGUCCUCCUAGGGCAGAAGAGGCUGGGGAACUCCGUGGGUCUAUUUAUCACACUCUAAUAUUGUGAAUGAGGGUUCCGCCUUGUGCUAAGCACCUCCCAGAGGCCUUACUUACCAUACCAUCACCUUCAGGGGUUAGGAUUUCAACCUAUGAAUUUUGGGGGGAUGCAGUCAAACCAUAGCAGGUGCCUUCGAUGCAGGUUCAGGCCUUUUAAC